AUGACCGGGGCGAAGAGAAUCAAAGGGGCGAGCUUUGCGUUGGAUCUGGCAAUGGCAAUGAAGAGUACAGUUUGUGUAAUUAACAAUAUGAAGAUAAAGCAUCGGUGGCUCAAUAGUCUUCGUAGUCCAAUAAAUGCCCAACACAAAAGGGACGAAGCUGCAAGGAAGCAGGAGCAGAACAAUAGCCAGCUACAAAUGAUGGCAUUUAUGAAGAACACCACGGUGCUGUGUUGGAUAGCUAUUAUUCUCAUGUCCAUCAAUUCCUUGUCCUGCCAUGCUGCUGCGAGGAGCACACAUACAAUGGACUUUGGACCUAUUCUUGGGUGUGUAAAGACGGAAACAAAAUGUUCGGUUGUUGGGUGCACGAAGAUAUGUUCCGACCUUGGCUGGAAUACCCACAGAUGCUAUUGUGCCGAUGCUGGCAGUUGCUGCCACUAUGCGGAUGGAAAGCCAUUAAAUUGA
rnacentral:rRNA from 1 species